CCUACGGGAGGCAGCAGUAGGGAAUCUUCCGCAAUGGACGAAAGUCUGACGGAGCAACGCCGCGUGAACGAUGAAGGCCUUCGGGUCGUAAAGUUCUGUUGUUAGGGAAGAACAAGUGCUAGUUGAAUAAGCUGGCACCUUGACGGUACCUAACCAGAAAGCCACGGCUAACUACGUGCCAGCAGCCGCGGUAAUACGUAGGUGGCAAGCGUUGUCCGGAAUUAUUGGGCGUAAAGCGCGCGCAGGCGGUUUCUUAAGUCUGAUGUGAAAGCCCCCGGCUCAACCGGGGAGGGUCAUUGGAAACUGGGAAACUUGAGUGCAGAAGAGGAAAGUGGAAUUCCAAGUGUAGCGGUGAAAUGCGUAGAGAUUUGGAGGAACACCAGUGGCGAAGGCGACUUUCUGGUCUGUAACUGACGCUGAGGCGCGAAAGCGUGGGGAGCAAACAGGAUUAGAUACCCUGGUAGUCCACGCUGUAAACGAUGAGUGCUAAGUGUUAGAGGGUUUCCGCCUUUAGUGCUGAAGUUAACGCAUUAAGCACUCCGCCGUGGGGAGUACGGUCGCAAGCUAGAAACUUAAAGGAUUGACGGNNGAGAGNGCGACGACGACGACGAGGGAGAGG
rnacentral:rRNA from 1 species